GACGAACGCUGGCGGCGUGCUUAACACAUGCGAGUCGAACGGAAAGGCCCCUUUGGGGGUCCUCGAGUGGCGAACGGGUGAGUAACACGUGAGUAACCUGCCCUUGACUUCGGGAUAACUUCAGGAAACUGGGGCUAAUACCGGAUAGGAAUCCUUGCUGCAUGGUGGGGGUUGGAAAGCUUCGGCGGUUUUGGAUGGACUCGCGGCUUAUCAGCUUGUUGGUGGGGUAGUGGCUUACCAAGGCUUUGACGGGUAGCCGGCCUGAGAGGGCGACCGGCCACAUUGGGACUGAGAUACGGCCCAGACUCCUACGGGAGGCAGCAGUGGGGAAUAUUGCACAAUGGGCGGAAGCCUGAUGCAGCAACGCCGCGUGCGGGAUGACGGCCUUCGGGUUGUAAACCGCUUUCAGCAGGGGCGAAGCUUGUGGUGACGGUACCUGCAGAAGAAGCACCGGCUAACUACGUG
rnacentral:rRNA from 1 species